UCGUGACAUAACUCAAUAAGUGUUGUACAUUCCACGUAAGGGGACAUAAAAUGAACAAUGGACAUAAUUUCCACACCCCAACCCUAGGUAAGACGGACAAGUACCAUAUGAACACAUGAUUUACCAGUGACCUGUGAUUAUUAGAAAGUAAACUACUAUGCAGAUAGAUUUACUGAUGAGAAGCUUCAUAUACAACACAUAUUGACUAGCUGAACCGAUACAUGUGACAAGUGAUACUAUGAAUACAGAUGAUAGCUUUACAAAGUCUACAAAGCCUCUACUGGAAUCCAUGAUUGUACCACUAUGAAAUACGCAUAGUAAAGACUCGGCAAAGCCCCGAAUCAACCAGGAGCUCACCAACAACCGUUGAGUAUCGUGUG
rnacentral:lncRNA from 1 species